CACGUAGGGGGCAAGCGUUGUCCGGAUUUAUUGGGCGUAAAGAGCUCGUAGGUGGCUUAGUAAGUCGGGUGUGAAACCUCCAGGCUCAACCUGGAGACGCCACCCGAUACUGCUAUAGCUUGAGUCCGGUAGGGGAGCGUGGAAUUCCUGGUGUAGCGGUGAAAUGCGCAGAUAUCAGGAGGAACACCAGCGGCGAAGGCGACUUACUGGACACAUAUUGACGCUGAGGUGCGAAAGCGUGGGGAGCAAACAGG
rnacentral:rRNA from 1 species